CAUAUUCUGUAUACACACUGUGUAUAGCAUAAUAACCAGACUCUCGUAUCGAUCAUUGAUAUUGAAAUAGCAGACAAAAUAUAUACUCAACAGUAGUUUCAUAAAUAUUUUCACUAUUUUCCAAAACAUAAACAAAUGGAGAGAUAUUGAGAGUGAGUUCAACAAAAAACAUGUCUGAAAAACAUAUGAAAAGCCGACUCUUUGUUGAUGUUUAUCGCAAACGUAUCGGCGACAAUGACUUGAAAAAGUCAACAAAAAGUUAUUCAACUAAACAUCGCGACAGACAUUGCGCUAAACAAAGCGAUUCAAUCAAUGAUAAUAUUGAUAAUAAUAUACAUAAGACCAAACAAACAUUGAUCUCAUGUUUUGUAAUAACCGGCUGU